UUUUAUGAGAGUUUGAUCCUGGCUCAGGACGAACGCUGGCGGCGUGCCUAAUACAUGCAAGUCGUACGCUUCUUUUUCCACCGGAGCUUGCUCCACCGGAAAAAGAAGAGUGGCGAACGGGUGAGUAACACGUGGGUAACCUGCCCAUCAGAAGGGGAUAACACUUGGAAACAGGUGCUAAUACCGUAUAACAAUCGAAACCGCAU
rnacentral:rRNA from 1 species